rnacentral:rRNA from 1 species
CUGAUUUAGCGGCGGACGGGUGAGUAAUGCCUAGGAAUCUGCCUGGUAGUGGGGGAUAACGUUCCGAAAGGAACGCUAAUACCGCAUACGUCCUACGGGAGAAAGCAGGGGACCUUCGGGCCUUGCGCUAUCAGAUGAGCCUAGGUCGGAUUAGCUAGUUGGUGAGGUAAUGGCUCACCAAGGCGACGAUCCGUAACUGGUCUGAGAGGAUGAUCAGUCACACUGGAACUGAGACACGGUCCAGACUCCUACGGGAGGCAGCAGUGGGGAAUAUUGGACAAUGGGCGAAAGCCUGAUCCAGCCAUGCCGCGUGUGUGAAGAAGGUCUUCGGAUUGUAAAGCACUUUAAGUUGGGAGGAAGGGCAUUAACCUAAUACGUUAGUGUUUUGACGUUACCAACAGAAUAAGCACCGGCUAACUUCGUGCCAGCAGCCGCGGUAAUACGAAGGGUGCAAGCGUUAAUCGGAAUUACUGGGCGUAAAGCGCGCGUAGGUGGUUCGUUAAGUUGGAUGUGAAAGCCCCGGGCUCAACCUGGGAACUGCAUCCAAAACUGGCGAGCUAGAGUACGGUAGAGGGUGGUGGAAUUUCCUGUGUAGCGGUGAAAUGCGUA